AACAACCGAGUCAGACUGGGAGCCCGCGGUGGCUGCGCAGGCGCUGCCAAUACAGGCGGGACCGGAAGGAGACACAGGGCGCCGCCAUGACAGGUUGGUCCUAAAGGGAACGAGGCAACUUGCCGGUUCUGUAACCGGAAAAAACGAGGCAGGGACUGCUGACCUGGGCGCCGCCAUGACAGCCUGCACCGGAAAAGGCGGGGCUCUUCUCCCUGACUGAUUUCCCUCCGGCACCGGCCUCGAGAUGCAGGCGGCCCUGGAGGUCACUGCUCGCUACUGUGGCCGGGAGCUGGAGCAAUAUGGCCAGUGUGUGGCGGCCAAGCCUGAGUCAUGGCAGCGGGACUGCCACCACCUUAAGAUGAGUAUCGCUCAAUGCACAUCCUCCCACCCAAUCAUCCGGCAGAUCCGCCAGGCCUGUGCUGAGCCUUUUGAGGCCUUUGAGGAGUGUCUUCGACAGAAUGAGGCAGCAGUGGGCAACUGUGCAGAGCACGUGCGCCGCUUCCUGCAGUGUGCUGACCAGGUGCAGCCACCACGCUCACCCUCGAAUGUGGAGGAGAAGCCACCGAGAAUAACACCAGGACUGUGGAGGAGCAGUGCACGGUGCUGGUGAGAAAAAGGGGUAAAUGCAGACCAGAAAAUGAAGACCAGAACAACCCCAAGCAUCUGUACCCAGCAGAGCACAAGUCCCAUGGAACCAGGCCCAGGCAAACGUUAAGAAUUCUCUAAACUGCCUGCAGUCUUGAGGACAUUCUUCUUUUCUUCUAUGUGGUGGUGAAACCGAAAAUCCUAAUUAUUCCAUGAUCAGUGCUUUUGUCAAGAGGAUACCGAGCUUGAUGUCAUCACAUCGGACUGACACCAGGAAUUAGUGCGAUGUGGGCUUGCUGAGCCGCGUGUCAAAGCAGAUUUUACGUGAUGAAGUAAAAGCGAUCAAGUAAAAAAAAAUCUCAUUAAAUGCUUCUGUGAAUUUUGAGGAAAUGGAAAUGUGACCAAAAUGCACAUUAUGAACACCUCAAUGUCACAGUGCUCAUUGGGACCUCAGGUGGAAAGCCGCAGUCCUAAAGUAUAAAGAGAAGCUGGUAAAGCUAAAAGGAGAAGAGCUUCCCUUCCAAACCAGGAUCCGAUUAGGAUUAAGCUGUAAACAAAUGAGGGCCUCAGCCAGCUCUGAUGUGCGGGCCAUAAGGGUCUCGGCCGUAUCAUGAAGCAGAGGGCUAGGUGGGCUUUACUGACCAUGUGAUGGACCUCAGCUUGGGGCACCAACGGCCCUUGGCAGCUUUCCUGUUCAGUCCCUCCUAGCUUUCCUUCAUUCCUGAACAUGGCCAUCCCCACCUUGCAAAGAAUUCCUCUCAUUGCACUUGCUGCCCCAGCUGUAUUUUGUGCAUACCUCUGUGACUGCUGUUACCGCGCCAGACCGUAUUGCAAGUCUUUUUGACGUGGCUGGCUGCUCAACUGAAUUCCUGGAGGGAGCCUGGCCCGGGGAACCCUGUCAACAAGGGUUUGGUGCGUUGAGAAGAGACGAAUGUCUGCUCUCUCUUGGGGUCUGCAGGCACCCAUCUCUUCCAGAUUGUGGCCUGGGUCAGGGGGUGCCGUGGGCCGAGGAGGGAGAAGCAGGCCAGGGCAAGCCACUUUGGAGCAGGACAGGCAGGUACUGCCCAGAGGCAGGAAGCAGUGGCUGGGAUUCAACAGGGAAUUUACAAAACUCAGUUAUCUCUUCACUUUGGAUAGAAACCCCAUAAUUUAAGAAAUGAAGACGAUAAACCUGA